GCGAAUGUGGUGAAGUGGUUAACACAGCGGGUUGUGGUCCCGUCAUGCGCGGGUUCGAAUCCCGUCAUUCGCCCCA
rnacentral:tRNA from 2 species